GUGUCAGCAGCCGCGGUAAUACGAACCGUGCGAACGUUGUUCGGAAUCACUGGGCUUAAAGGGCGCGUAGGCGGGCGGGCAAGUCGGAGGUGAAAGCCCCCAGCUCAACUGGGGAAGUGCCCUCGAUACUGCCGGCCUGGAGGGAGGUAGGGGCGUGCGGAACUUCCGGUGGAGCGGUGAAAUGCGUAGAUAUCGGAAGGAACACCGGUGGCGAAGGCGGCACGCUGGGCCUCUCCUGACGCUGAGGCGCGAAAGCCAGGGGAGCGAACGGGAUUAGAAACCCCGGUAGUCC
rnacentral:rRNA from 1 species